AUUGCCUUCAUCAGUGGAUCCAUGACUAUCGUGUCAACAUCAUGGCAGGUUGGAUCAAUUGCCUUGGUGUGCAGAGCAAAUGGCACGGGACCAUUGAAUAUGACAUGGACUAAGAAUGGAAGAAUACUACCAGCAUAUAAUGAUGCAAAUGGUUGGACACGUAAGCUUGGUGAUUACCUAAGUGUGGACGACUCAGGGAUAUAUACUUGUACAGUAUCAACACCCUUUGGAACUGCUUCAAAACAACUGACCAUCCUAGUACAAGAUAUUCCCAGGUUUCUUAUUUCCCCUAGACCGGCACGGAUCGUCCAGAAUUCACUAAGAGCAACUUCGGUCACUCUUAAUCUUCAAUCACCGUCACACAAAGGAAAUCUACCCGUCAAAAGUUACAAAGUCAUUUGUAAACCAGAUGCAGAGUACAGAUCUUAUGUGAAGGACACUGUUCAAAGUGUUCCACUCAAUACUGUCACAUUUUUUGGACUCCAACCAGCCACCAAAUAUACCUGCUGGUAUCAUGCAGAAAAUGCAGCUGGUCCAAGUGGUCCAAGUCCCAGACUAAGACUGGAGACUCCCGAAUCACGGUCUGCGGCGCCCCAAGGCCUCACUGCUGUCUCAACAUCAC